GGGUUGUGGCUCAGUGGUAGAGUGCUUGUCUAGCCCACGUGAGGUGCUGGGUUCAAUCCACAGCCUCA
rnacentral:tRNA from 1 species